GUAAGAUGUCCUUGCGUCCUCUUCACCAUAAGCCAUGAUUAUAAGUUUCCUGAGGCCUCCCAGUGAUGCUUCCUCUUAAGCCUGUGGAACUAUGGCGUAAUAUCAGGACAUCAGGAAGUCAGGUUUAUCUUGAAGGCAUCUUGGAUAAGGUUUCAGGAGCUGAAAAGGGUCUGGAUUUUACCCUACUUGAAAGCUAACAGCUUUUCACAGUUUCAUGGAUGCUGACAGAAGACAGGAUUUCUGAAUCAGAGAAAGGUGGUGCAGUAGUCCCCUCUUAUCUGCGGAAAAUACUUUUCAAGAUGCCCAGUGGAUGCCUAAAAUCACAGAUAGUACCAAACUCUACCUAUGCUAUGUUUUCUCCUAUACAUACAUACCUAUGGUAAAGUUGAAGUUAUAAAUUAGGCACAGUAAGAGAUUAAUAACAAUAACUAAUA